rnacentral:rRNA from 1 species
CAGGCGGUUUGUUAAGUCAGAUGUGAAAUCCCCGGGCUCAACCUGGGAACUGCAUCUGAUACUGGCAAGCUUGAGUCUCGUAGAGGGGGGUAGAAUUCCAGGUGUAGCGGUGAAAUGCGUAGAGAUCUGGAGGAAUACCGGUGGCGAAGGCGGCCCCCUGGACGAAGACUGACGCUCAGGUGCGAAAGCGUGGGGAGCAAACAGGAUUAGAUACCCUGGUAGUCCACGCCGUAAACGAUGUCGACUUGGAGGUUGUGCCCUUGAGGCGUGGCUUCCGGAGCUAACGCGUUAAGUCGACCGCCUGGGGAGUACGGCCGCAAGGUUAAAACUCAAAUGAAUUGACGGGGGCCCGCACAAGCGGUGGAGCAUGUGGUUUAAUUCGAUGCAACGCGAAGA